GACGAACGCUGGCGGCGUGCUUAACACAUGCAAGUCGAGCGGUAAGGCCCUUUCGGGGGUACACGAGCGGCGAACGGGUGAGUAACACGUGGGUGACCUGCCCUUAGCUCUGGGAUAAGCCUGGGAAACUGGGUCUAAUACCGGAUAUGACUCCAUGACGCAUGUUGUGGGGUGGAAAGCCUUGUGCGGCUAGGGAUGGGCCCGCGGCCUAUCAGCUUGUUGGUGGGGUGAUGGCCUACCAAGGCGACGACGGGUAGCCGGCCUGAGAGGGCGACCGGCCACACUGGGACUGAGACACGGCCCAGACUCCUACGGGAGGCAGCAGUGGGGAAUCUUGCGCAAUGGGCGAAAGCCUGACGCAGCGACGCCGCGUGAGGGAUGACGGCCUUGGUGUAACUACUUCUACNCUGUACGAGACGAAGUAGACGGUAGGGACGAGAAGAAGACG
rnacentral:rRNA from 1 species